ensembl:snRNA U6 U6 spliceosomal RNA
GUGCUCACUUCGGCUGCACAUACACUAAAAUUGGAACCGUACAGAGAUUAGCUAGCACGUCCUCUGUGCAAAGAGGACACACAAAUUCGUGAAGCAUUCCAUCUUAAA